rnacentral:lncRNA from 1 species
GCAGAGAGUUACAGUUGACAAGCAGAGACUUCAAAUGACGAGUAGAGAGUUACACUUAAGGUAGAAUCUUCAUUUCCAUAGCCAAGUAGAGUCCAUUUCUUCAAACCACCAGGAAAAUCGAAAUGGGUAUCGCUCCAAACAACCUCUUGUACGGUGGCUUCUUCGCCAGAGAUGGUGCCUUCGUACUUACAGUCAAUCGAGAUGGGUAUUGGCGAACAGCUGGGCUCUAUUUCGAUGGGGAUUGGGGCAGCUAGUUUUUAUUUUGGGAGGGAAAUAAGUUGUCUUCCCAGUUUUUUACAGGAGCCAAAUGAAUUUUGCGCCCCAUGUGACUACAUACGUUGAAUUCAUUUGUUUUUCUGUAGUAAUUUAAAAACAGAAAAUAAUAAUGUCAUAAAUAAAUACAUGGGUUCAUAACAUUUCUAGUGUCUGCCUUCCCACCAGCAGAAUCUGAAUCAAACCUCUUACAUAAAUAGAUCACAAAUGUUUGCUCUAUCUUUAAAAGAUGAAUAUUAUCACCGAUGAAGACAUCGACCAGAAAACCCACAAAAACUAAUAACAGAAACAGAAUUUACAAGUGUCCCCUUCUUUUCUUUCCUUCUGUAAAUUUUCCUGCUUAGCAUCGGACGAGGUUUUACCCCAACAGGGCAUUAUUUCAAAUUCUUGGGCCGAUAAUANN